CCUACGGGAGGCAGCAGUGGGGAAUAUUGCACAAUGGGGGAAACCCUGAUGCAGCGACGCCGCGUGAGUGAAGAAGUAUCUCGGUACGUAAAGCUCUAUCAGCAGGGAAGAAAAUGACGGUACCUGACUAAGAAGCCCCGGCUAACUACGUGCCAGCAGCCGCGGUAAUUCGUAGGGGGCAAGCGUUAUCCGGAUUUACUGGGUGGAAAGGGAGCGAAGACGGAAGCACAAGUCUGGAGUGAAAUCCCGGGGCUUAACCCCGGAACUGCUUUGGAAACUGUGCGGCGGGAGUGCAGGAGGGGGAAGCGGAAUUCCUGGUGUAGCGGUGAAAUGCGUAGAUAUUAGGAGGAACACCGGUGGCGAAGGCGGCUUACUGGACUGUAACGGACGUUGAGGCCCGAAAGCGUGGGGAGCAAACAGGAUUAGAUACCCCGGUAGUC
rnacentral:rRNA from 1 species